GGGCCGUUAGCUCAGUUGGUAGAGCAGCGGACUUUUAAUCCGCAGGUCGCAGGUUCGAUCCCUGCACGGCUCA
rnacentral:tRNA from 1 species